CAACCGCUGGCGUAAUUACGUGGAUGUUG
rnacentral:ncRNA from 1 species